GCGCCGGGUGCUUCUCCCUCUGUCUGUGUGGCUGCCUCUCUCGGUCUCUCUCUCUGUGUCUCUUGAGGUCCUUGUAUUGAUCCAAAUAUUUUGAACAUUUAUCCUCUGAGAUUGUUUCUCUAUUGCAUAGUUGGUCCUGUUUGUGUAAGAGACAGGCAGGGAGCUUGAGCGGGAGAGGGAGCCCUAGCUCCUCAAGCCCACGGGGCCCCAGCGCAGGGCCUGCCGGGGCGGGAUCCCAGGCCUCCGGGCGGCUCCCUGCAGGCUGCUCGUCCCCUCCGUCCCACCUCAGGGUGCUGGGGCCUUGGCCGGGAAGGGGCAUCGGAUCGCCCUGAUGAAGUCCAGCCAGACGGAGCUGCUGGAGCACAAAGUCCGACAACUGCUGCUCGCCUUGUAGCGCAGGGACGUCAUCUCCAUUUGCAGCUUCUUAGACGACUAUCGUGGAUUCGCCACCACGGACGAGGUGCUGGACCUGCUGUUCACCGAAUAUGGGUACAUCGUAGCUGCAUGUGGUGACGACGACACGGUCCAGCGUUGGAAACUGGCCAUCUCCUGCAUGCUGGAAAUAUGGCUGGAUUAUUAUGGGGACGACUUUUGUCAGCUCCCCGAAUUUCCCUCCCUUAUGAAAAUUCUCUAAUUCCUAAGACAGCACAUGCCGAGUUCAGACGUGGAACUCCGUGCCCGGCGUAACCUCCAGCAAUUCAGACGCCUCCAUACAGUGGAGCCAGAGGCUGGGGCUUCAGCCCAAGGAAAACACCCUAAAGCAGCUCAGGAGCGCGUCCCAGCUCUGACCGUGGGGACUGCUGCCCCGUCGGGGCCUGCGGGGAUCCAGGCCGUCCUGGCUGCUGGAGCUGAGGGCUCGGCCCGCGCUGAAGCGCCCGCUGGGGAGGUGAAGCCCCUGCAGAUAGUGGUCACUGCUCUAGUUCACUGCUCCGCCCUGGAGGAGCCCCCUGCACCUGCGGCCACCCCAGAGGAGGAGCAGGCCCCGGCACCUGCAAUCGGGGUCCCCAGAGUGCCAGAGCCGCCACCUGCAUCUGGAACAACUGGCUUCGACCCCUGAGCUCGCCCCAGCUCCCAACGCAGGGCUCGUGGUGGCUGCAGCCCAACGGAGGCUUGCCCUCCCCUGGCAUUUCACUGUUUCUAUAUUUUCCAUUUUUCUUUAAC
rnacentral:lncRNA from 12 species